AUCGCUUCUCGGCCUUUUGGCUAAGAUCAAAGUGUAGUAUCUGUUCUUAUCAGCUUAAUAUCUGAUACGGUGCCCAUAGGGUGCCCUCGAUAUUAAACUAAUUUUUGGACAGAGGCUCGUGGUCCGGAAUUUAUUCCGCCCUAGCCACAGGUUAACCCGCUAUUGCACUACUUGCGGGAUUGGCCUACAUAAA
rnacentral:snRNA from 1 species